GGCCCACGGCGAACACAUGGCGCAACGCCUCACACGCGAGAGGUCACUGGUUCAAGUCCAGUACGGUCCA
rnacentral:tRNA from 1 species